CUCGAAUGAGGAAAAAUGUUGUUGAAAGAUGGUUUCUCCUAAAUCUUAAGUCUAAAUACUGUGAUGGUCAAGCGUUGGCAUCCAGACUUUCGAAGCAAAUUACUCGAGUAACAAAGGAUGUCAAUAAAGAUAUCGCAGCUUAUAA